AGAGUUUGAUCAUGGCUCAGACUGAACGCUGGCGGUAUGCUUAACACAUGCAAGUCGAACGGAAACGAUACUAGCUUGCUAGUAGGCGUCGAGUGGCGGACGGGUGAGUAACGCGUAGGAAUCUGCCUGAUAGUGGGGGAUAGCCCGGAGAAAUUCGGAUUAAUACCGCAUAAUCUACACGUAGUAAUGGAGGCCUCUAUUUAUAAGCUUUCGCUAUCAGAUGAGCCUGCGUAAGAUUAGCUUGUUGGUGAGGUAAAAGCUCACCAAGGCGACGAUCUUUAGCUGGUCUGAGAGGAUGAUCAGCCACACUGGGACUGAGACACGGCCCAGACUCCUACGGGAGGCAGCAGUGGGGAAUAUUGGACAAUGGGGGCAACCCUGAUCCAGCAAUACCGCGUGUGUGAAGAAGGCCUGAGGGUUGUAAAGCACUUUCAAUUGUGAAGAAAAGCUAAAGGUUAAUAACC
rnacentral:rRNA from 1 species